rnacentral:rRNA from 1 species
GACGAACGCUGGCGGCGUGCUUAACACAUGCAAGUCGAACGGAAAGGCCCCCUUGUUGGGUACUCGAGUGGCGAACGGCGGAGUAAUACGUCAUUAACCUACCCUUCUCUUUUUUAUAAUUUCUUCAAACUGGGGCUAAUACUGGCUAGUAGCUCCUCCUGCUUGGUGGGGGGGGUAAAGUUUCGGCGGUUGGGGAUGGUCUCGCGGCUUAUCAGCUUGUUGGUGGGGUAGUGGCUCACCAAGGCUUUGACGGGUAGCCGGCCUGAGAGGGUGACCGGCCACAUUGGGACUGAGAUACGGCCCAGACUCCUACGGGAGGCAGCAGUGGGGAAUAUUGCACAAUGGGCGGAAGCCUGAUGCAGCAACGCCGCGUGCGGGAUGACGGCCUUCGGGUUGUAAACCGCUUUCGCCUGUGACGAAGCGUGAGUGACGGUAAUGGGUAAAGAAGCACCGGCUAACUACGUG